CAGUCGCCGCGGGAAUACGUAGGUGGCAAGCGUUGUCCGGAAUUAUUGGGCGUAAAGGGCUCGCAGGCGGUUUCUUAAGUCUGAUGUGAAAGCCCCCGGCUCAACCGGGGAGGGUCAUUAGAAACUGGGAAACUUGAGUGCAGAAGAGGAGAGUGGAAUUCCACGUGUAGCGGUGAAAUGCGUAGAGAUGUGGAGGAACACCAGUGGCGAAGGCGACUCUCUGGUCUGUAACUGACGCUGAGGAGCGAAAGCGUGGGGAGCGAACAGGAUUAGAGACCCGCGUAGUCCCUGUCUCUUAUAC
rnacentral:rRNA from 1 species